GGAGCUCGUCUGGGGGGCGGAGCGGGUCGGCAGCACCUGGCGUCGGUGUGUCCUGAGUCUACCUGCUGUCAGGAGGCUGACCUGGACCAUACCAUGCGUGGUGAAGAAUGUGUAACAAAUGUUCGCACAUUUGGAGUACUGUGCCGGGAGGAGGACGUGCUGUCCCUGAAGGAUGUCCGAGCUGAAGGAUGUCCGAGCGGAGACACCGGAGCGUCCUGUCAACAGCAGAUAAACACUACUUCACCUAAGAGACUUGAAUAUCCAGUUCUUCGUUGACCUUCAGCGUUCAGUUGUUUGUCUUCACCUUUUCAGGUAAGCAAUUUAAAAAAAAAUGCUUUUGUAAUGUUGAGAAACACUGAAAUUAUUAUUCAUAAAGAACUUUCAACCACUGUUCUGUUCUGUGAUGUCAUGUAUAGUGAUAUACAAAUGUAUCUGAAAGAACGGUGUAUUUGGGAUAAUCAAUAUUAUUAGUAUUAUUCAUGUAUUUAUUUAUUUUUAAAUCAGAGAAUGGGGGGGAAAUAGAUUAUUAGUACAAAAACUAGUAACUAGUAAAAAAAAUUGGUAACAAUAAUGUUCAUUCAUUAAUUGACGCUUGGUCAAACUCUCAUCUAAUUAAGUAUUGCUGUCUCAUUAACAUGUUGUAUUUAUUUAUUUUGUAGGCUAAAACUUGAGAAGCCAUCACCAUGUUGUUGUUUUUUGUAUUUCACAUUAUGCAGAUUUUUCAGCAUGUGGUCCUCAAUAUAUAGUAUAGAAGUCACUGCAUUUUCUGACUUUUCCAGGUUUCCUGUGUCCAGCAUCUUCAAGACAGACUAAGCUAACUUUUCAUAUUUUUUGCACAUUUAUAUUUAGGUUAGGUUAGGAAUAGGUUAGGUUUAUAGUAGAGUAUUUAGUUUGUAUAGUUUAGCUUUUUAUGCUGGUCUAGGGACAGUUAAGUUAGCAAAUUAAUUUAGUUCACAUCACUUACAGUUGCAUAUUAUUGUUACAAUUGUGUUAUUUUGUAAGUUAUUGUUGGGCUAUUGUAUAUUGCAGGACCAAGUGAGACGAGGAAGACCACUGCUUCCAAGAUGCCGCUCAGAAAGUGCGUUGGACAAGUCUCGACCUUGCAGAUCCUGCCCCACUUAGCCCAACCACUUCCGACCAUGGGGUACCUCAAAGACCUCCGUCAACCAGCCGGCUGUGGAUGAUGGAUAACGGAGCCACAACUCCUUCUCCAGUCUACAAGGUUCUGAAAAUACAGACACCCCCACAGUCCAAGAACAGCUGGAUGACCUCUGGACCCACUUGCCCCCGUUCACCAGUUGAAAAGAUAAGCUUUUUAAAAAAUUCUUCAAUUGUUAAUUCUGCACAAAGUGAUACACAAAACAUUGUCUGUAUUCCAUUUAAACAAACAUGAAAUGUAUAUUUAAAUACAUGACUUAAUGCAAGUCAAUCAUACUAAACAUCAUCUUUUUUUUUUUUU